UUCCGAAUUUUAUGGCAAAAUUACAGUUGAAUAUUGUAUUAACCACCCUAAAAACAAUUACUCCAGCUUCAUCUCCUUUUCUGCCUUCUAUAUCAUCGCUUCCUCUUCAGUUUCGUCAGGUAACCACUCCUUCAGUAUGCAUGCAUGGCAAAUCCACAUGUCCAGGCCUGAAGCUUCUGAAAUCUUCCUUUAUAGAAUUCACUUGGUUUUGGCCCUGCAUACAGAAUGUGCACUUACAGCAAUCAGAUAAAGACUUCAUUAAUGGGAAAUGAUCUGUUCAGGAACUCUGCUUCUUCUGUUUACCAUAUUUAGUUCCAAGGCUCUAUGUACUUUGCUCCUCAUAAUGAAAUCUGGCGCCCUGCAGUUCCAGCAAAGAGUAAAUUUCAUGCCUGGAUCAUGGUUCAGGGCUUGCCUUACAGCCGACAACAUUGCGAAGCAGGGGUCACUGCUUCAUGUCAUUUACAAGUUCUAGAACCACUCCCUCUUCUCAUUGGAAUUCUUGAAUCCUGGAGGAUUGAUUGCCUCCAUGGCAUGCUUUCAGCAACGAAGUAAAUGCUACUAAAAGUGACACAAGUAUUGUGUGAAGAACUGAAGAUGUGUCCUUAAAGAAAUUUGGUUACCUGUGAUAAUGACCAUGAUGUAGUAGAUAGCUAUUCUCAACUACGGAAACAUGUUCAUGUGAGAUUGUAGAUCUACCGAACAAGUAUUUAAUCUAUUAGCCCUAUUCUUGUAGCAAUCGAACAAUUGAACUAUGAGUUUUUUUAGAUGGUUAUUGCCUUACUCUCAGCUCAUAGGUUCCGUUGCUUGGCAGGGCAAUGGCAACUUUGGAAGAAAGGAUGGGCUCCAACUGGGCAUCGCUGCAUGUUGAUAUGCUCGAGCUGAUCGCCGACCGGGUUCUCG
rnacentral:lncRNA from 1 species